GCCGGGUUAGCUCAGUGGUAGAGCAACGCACUUGUAAUGCGUAGGCCGUGGGUUCAACCCCCACACCCGGCUCCA
rnacentral:tRNA from 2 species